GCCCCAUGUGCCUUAGUGGUUAGAGUAUCGGACUAGGACCUGGGAGGCCAGGGUUCAAAUCCCUACUCAGCCA